GGAAAAAGGCUUUGAUGGUGAUGUAUAGAGGAAUAAUGGAGCAGGAUACCCUACCUGUUGUGCCUCCUGGAUGUUCUUCUGAAAAGCCAGAGACAGUUCAUGAUUUUAUUAUUAAGGCAAAAGCUGCUCUUGUUGCCGUUGGAAUAGUUAGAGAUUCUAUUAUUGGUAAUGGAAAGUUAUCUGGCCGCAUAAUUGAUUCAGACAUGCAUGAUGUUGGACGUUUUCUCAACCGGCUCUUAGGACUACCGCCUG
rnacentral:misc_RNA from 1 species